CAAAUGCAGGUGUUGCCAUGGAAACGGGGCAACAGCACUCAUUCUGUCAGGCAGCAAAACUGUUUCUCACUGCUGUUUUCACGGCUUUUAGUGCCUUUGGGAAAAGUCCGUUAGCAUCUUCUCAACUGUUUUCAGACAAGUAAGCCCAGAAGUUUAGACUCCUACCAAAGAGAGAGAUGAUAGGACAACUGUGAAAGUCAGGAGGGAG